UGUGGAACCCGUGGUCAUGAUGCACAUGA
rnacentral:piRNA from 1 species